rnacentral:rRNA from 1 species
AGAUUAAGCCAUGCAUGUCUAAGUAUAAACACGUUAUACUGUGAAACUGCGAAUGGCUCAUUAAAUCAGUUAUAGUUUAUUUGAUGGUUUUUGCUACAUGGAUAACUGUGGUAAUUCUAGAGCUAAUACAUGCGUACAAGCCCCGACUUCUGGAAGGGGUGUAUUUAUUAGAUAAAAAUCAACACUGUUGGUGAAUCAUGAUAACUUCUCGGAUCGCAU